UACGUAGGGGGCGAGCGUUGUCCGGAUUUAUUGGGCGUAAAGAGCUCGUAGGCGGCUUGGCAAGUCGGGUGUGAAACCUCCAGCUCAACCUGGAGACGCCACUCGAUACUGCCAUGGCUAGAGUCCGGUAGGGACCACGGAAUUCCUGGUGUAGCGGUGAAAUGCGCAGAUAUCAGGAGGAACACCGGUGGCGAAGGCGGUGGUCUGGGCCGGCACUGACGCUGAGGAGCGAAAGCGUGGGUAGCAAACAGG
rnacentral:rRNA from 1 species